GAAUGAAAAUAGGACUAAAGUUUGACUUUGUGAGUGUGUACCAGGAAGAACACAGAGUGAGGAGGAUGUGGUGAUUGAAGACUUUGAGGAAGAUUCAGAGGCUGAAGGCAGCGGAGGCGAGGAUGACAUCAGGGAACUUCGGGCCAAGAAGCUGGCUCUGGCCAGGAAGAUAGCUGAGCAGCAGCGUCGCCAGGAAAAGAUCCAGGCUGUCCUAGAGGACCACAGUCAGAUGAGGCAGAUGGAGCUCGAAAUCAGACCUUUGUUCCUCGUACCAGACACCAACGGCUUCAUUGACCACCUGGCCAGUCUGGCGCGGCUGCUGGAGAGCAGGAAGUACAUCCUGGUGGUGCCCCUCAUCGUGAUCAAUGAGCUGGACGGCCUGGCCAAGGGGCAGGAGACAGACCACCGGGCUGGGGGCUACGCCCGUGUGGUACAAGAAAAGGCCCGCAAGUCCAUCGAGUUCCUCGAGCAGCGAUUCGAGAGUCGGGACUCUUGCCUGCGAGCCCUGACCAGCCGUGGCAAUGAACUCGAAUCCAUCGCCUUCCGCAGUGAGGACAUCACUGGCCAGCUGGGUAACAACGAUGAUCUCAUCCUCUCCUGCUGCCUCCACUACUGCAAAGACAAGGCCAAGGACUUUAUGCCUACCAGCAAAGAGGAGCCAAUCCGGCUACUGCGGGAGGUGGUGCUGUUGACAGAUGACCGGAACCUGCGUGUGAAGGCGCUCACAAGGAAUGUUCCUGUACGGGACAUCCCAGCCUUCCUCACAUGGGCUCAAGUGGGCUGAGGGAGCCACACUGGGGCCCCCCCCGUGGAACCGUUCCUGAAAGGCCACCAGGCGCCCAGUGUAGCACGGAAGAUGCCCACGUGCCUGAGCCACCAAUCCACCCAGACAAUAAACCA
rnacentral:sRNA from 1 species